rnacentral:ncRNA from 1 species
GGUUCGGGAGGCCACCCGGUGGACGGGGGGCAUGAAUGGAACCGGCCCCCUUGAUCGCCACGCGCCGCACUCCGGGCCCCGACGGGAUGCG